rnacentral:misc_RNA from 1 species
UCGAACUAUCGAGGGUUGUUGCUGGGUGUCAAAAGACACCAUGUGCACGCCUUCAUAAUUCUCAAACCCCUGUGCACCUAUUGUAGGCUGGUUGUAGGGCUGACUUCGGUCGGUUCGAAAGCCAGACUAUGUUUACACACGCUUCAGUUUAAGAAUGUCAUUUGCGGAUAACGCAUUAUAUA